UCAUCAAUAUCUCUCAAUCUCUCUCAAUCUUUCUACUACAAUUGCUUAAUUCGGCAAUCUGGUAAACUCGUUUCAACUCUUACAUUUUAAAAAUAUAUUUUUGUGUGGUUGGGUUUGCAUAAUUAUAAUUAAUAUGGCAUUUUCUUUGAAAAAAAUAUUUGGUAAAGAAAAAGGUAAAACCGGUUAAAGUGGUGGCCAUAAUACUACCCUUUCCCCGGCUCGACCUACAAAAGAUAAGCAAGUUGAAAGUAGUCGCCAACCUAGACGUCCUUCUCCUCCUCCCGUAAUUCUUGAUAGUGAUC
rnacentral:lncRNA from 1 species